rnacentral:tRNA from 1 species
AGGGCUAUAGCUCAGUUGGUAGAGCAACUCGUUUACAA